GACAGAGGGUGCAAACGUUGCUCGGAAUUACUGGGCGUAAAGCGCGUGUAGGUGGAUUGGUGUGUCAGAUGUGAAAUCCCUGGGCUCAACCCAGGAACUGCACCUGAAACUACCAGUCUUGAGUGGUGGAGAGGGAAGUGGAACUCCUGGUGUAGAGGUGAAAUUCGUAGAUAUCAGGAGGAACACCAGUGGCGAAGGCGGCUUCCUGGACACCAACUGACGCUGAGACGCGAAAGCGUGGGGAGCAAACAGG
rnacentral:rRNA from 1 species